CAAAUCCGCCCAGGGUCAGUCGGGACCUAAGGCGAGGCCCAAGGGCGUAGCCGAUGGACAGACGGUUAAUAUUCCGCCACCCGAUGGUAAGGUUGAACGACGGAGGACGCCGGUUCCAGUCAGGUCGGGGGGUUAGAAGACCCCGUGCCGCAAGGCCGACAGCAUUCGAUCUGGAAGCCUGAUGACGAGCCGGCCACGAAAAGCCCCGUCGGGACGAACCAUCCGGCCGUACCGCAAUCCGACACAGGUGUGCUAGGCGAGUAUCCGAAGGCGUUCGGGAGAACCCUCGUGAAGGAACUCGGCAAAAUGACCCCGUACCUUCGGUACAAGGGGUGCUCUCCGCAAGGAGAGCCGCAGAGAAUCGGCUCUAGCGACUGUUUAUCAAAAACACAGGACUCUGCCAACUCGCAAGAGGACGUAUAGAGUCUGACGCCUGCUCGGUGUCGGUAGGUUAAGGGAGCCGAUGAGGCGGAAGCUGAAGUUGGCGACCGAAGCCCCGAUAAACGGCGGCCGUAACUAUGACGGUCCUAAGGUAGCGAAGUUCCUUGUCGGGUAAGUUCCGACCUGCAUGAAUGGCGUAACGACUGGAGCACUGUCUCCACGAGGGACCCGGUGAAACUGUAGCCGUGGUGAAGAUGCCACGUCCCCGCGGUCAGACGGAAAGACCCCGUGAACCUUUACUGCAGGUUGGCACUGGGUCAGCGUCCUUUCUGUGUAGCAUAGGUGGGAGGCCGUGAUCCGGCGGCGCCAGCCGUCGGGGAGCCAUCGGUGAAAUACCACCCUGAAAUGACUCUGAUCCUCACCGGUCCGUAGCCCGGACCGGGACCGUGCUCAUCGGGCAGUUUGACUGGGGCGGUCUCCUCCCAAAGCGUAACGGAGGAGUGCAAUGGUACCCUCGGCCAGGUCGGCAAUCUGGCAACACGAGCGCAAACGUAGAAGGGUGCCUGACUGCGAGACCCAUCAGUCGAGCAGGGACGAAAGUCGGCGUUAGUGAUCCGGCGGUGCUGGAUGGAAAGGCCGUCGUUCAACAGAUAAAAGGUACUCCGGGGAUAACAGGCUGAUCUCCCCCGAGCGUCCAUAGCGGCGGGGAGGUUUGGCACCUCGAUGUCGGCUCAUCGCAUCCUGGGGCUGGAGAAGGUCCCAAGGGUUUGGCUGUUCGCCAAUGAAAGCGGUACGCGAGCUGGGUUCAGACCGUCGUGAGACAGGUCGGUCCCUAUCUGCCGUGGGCGGAGGAAACUUGCGAAGGGUCUCCCCUAGUACGAGAGGAUUGGGGAGGACCGACCUCUGGUGUGCCGGCUGUCCCGCUCGGGGCAUCGCCGGGUAGCUAGGUCGGGAAAGGAUAAGCGCUGAAGGCAUCUAAGCGCGAAGCCCUCUUCAAGACGAGGUUUCCAGCACGCAAGUGCGAAGGCUCCUGGAAGACGACCAGGUCGAUAGGCCGGGAGUGCACGGCGAGUGAUCGCCGCAGCCGACCGGUCCUAACAGCCAAUCGCUUGACCAC
rnacentral:rRNA from 1 species